rfam:Triticum aestivum genome assembly, contig: Triticum_aestivum_CS42_TGACv1_scaffold_308347_4AS
UUAAUACUCUCUCCGUCCGGAAAUACUUGUCAAAAAAAUGAAUGAAUCUAGACGUAUUUUAGUUAUAGAUACAUCUAAUUUUAUCUAUUUCUUCGACAAAUAUUUCAGGACGGAGCGAGUACUAU